CAGUAUAUGGGCAGCCUUCCCUGUGCUGGGGUGGAGCAGGGAGAGGUCCCCAUUCCCCCCUCAGCCUCACUCCUUCCCUUGCAGCGCCCCAUGCUGGGGUGGAACAGGGAGAGGUCCCCAUUCCCCCUCAUCCGCACUCCUUCCCUUGCAGCGCCCCGUGCUGGGGUGGAACAGGGAGAGGUCCCUAUUCCCCCUCAUCCGCACUCCUUCCCUUGCAGCGCCCCGUGCUGGGGUGGAACAGGGAGAGGUCCCCAUUCCCCCCUCAGCCUCACUCCUUCCCUUGCAGCGCCCCGUGCUGGGGUGGAACAGGGAGAGGUCCCCAUUCCCCCCUCAGCCUCACUCCUUCCCUUGCAGCGCCCCAUGCUGGGGUGGAGCGGGGCCAGGUCCCCAUUCCCCCCUCAGCCUCACUCCUUCCCCUGCAGUGCCCAGUGCUAGGGUGGAACAGGGGCAGGUCCCUGGGUCGCUAUUCCCCCUUCAGCGCCCUGUGCUGGGGUGGAGCAGGGGCAGGUCCCUGGGUCGCUAUUCCCCCUUCAGCGCCCCGUGCUGGGGUGGAGCGGGGGCAGGUCCCUGGGUCGCUAUUCCCCCUUCAGCGCCCCGUGCUGGGGUGGAGCGGGGACGGGUCCCCGGGUC